rnacentral:rRNA from 1 species
UGGGGAAUCUUCCGCAAUGGACGAAAGUCUGACGGAGCAACGCCGCGUGUAUGAUGAAGGUCUUCGGAUUGUAAAGUACUGUCAUUGGGGAAGAACGGUUUUCUUGAAAAGAUUGAGAAGACAUGACGGUACCCAAGGAGGAAGCCCCGGCUAACUACGUGCCAGCAGCCGCGGUAAUACGUAGGGGGCAAGCGUUGUCCGGAAUUAUUGGGCGUAAAGGGCGCGUAGGCGGGCUUUUAAGUCCGGUGUGAAAGAUCAGGGCUCAACCCUGAGAGUGCAUCGGAAACUGGAGGCCUUGAGGACAGGAGAGGAAAGUGGAAUUCCACGUGUAGCGGUGAAAUGCGUAGAUAUGUGGAGGAACACCAGUGGCGAAGGCGACUUUCUGGACUGUAACUGACGCUGAGGCGCGAAAGCGUGGGGAGCAAAACAGGAUUAGAUACCCUGGUAGUCCACGCCGUAAACGAUGAGUGCUGGGUGUAGAGGGUAUCGACCCCUUCUGUGCCGCAGUUAACACAAUAAGCACUCCCGCCUGGGGAGUACGGCCGCAAGGUUGAAACUUAAAAGAAUUGACGGGGUCAUAGCUGUUUCCU